ensembl:snRNA U1 U1 spliceosomal RNA
AGUUUUACGUGGCAGGGGAGAUACCAUGAUCACAAAGGUGAUUUUUCUCAGGGUGAGGUUUUCCCAUUGCACUCUGGAUUUGCUGACCCUGUGAUUUCCCCAAAUGUGGGAAACUCCAUAAUUUGUGGUAGAGACUGCAUGCACUCUCUCC